rnacentral:lncRNA from 1 species
AGAGUUUUUCAUCCCUCUCUCCUAUAUUGUUUGGCAUGUGAGUGAAGGGUCUGGACAUCUGGAUCUUGCAAAGCAACGAUCUUCAGGAAUCAAUCAACCUUGAUCAAUUUUUCAUUGCACAUCGAGAUAACUUUUAUAAGAGUUAUAAAAAAUUUAAAUUAUAAUAUAUUCUUCCCUCCUGGCAUCCGAUCUGAUAGGAUAAAUUUUUCUUUCACUAUUACCAGGACGAUAGCAUUUAUCACAUACAGGUCGUUGUGUACCAUAUGGGUUGGUUGUCUUUGUAACCAAGGAGUGUGAAGAUACUGGUAUAGUAUACAAGUAAAAUAUAGGAGUACAUUUAUACUAAAUAUGAUCAAACUAUAGAGUACUCUAUGGUCAAGAG